GAUUGUAUUAUACAUGUAACCCAGACAACUAGAUUAUAUUAUACUAUUGUACAUGUAACCCAGACAACUAGAUUAUAUUAUACUAUUGUACAUGUAACCCAGACAACUAGAUUAUAUUAUAAUAUUGUACAUGUAACCCAGACAACUAGAUUAUGUUGUACAUGUAACCCAGACAACUAGAUUAUAUUAUACUAUUGUACAUGUAACCCAGACAACUAGAUUAUAUUAUACUAUUGUACAUGUAACCCAGACAACUAGAUUAUAUUGUACUAUUGUACAUGUAACCCAGACAACUAGAUUAUAUUAUACUAUUGUACAUGUAACCCAGACAACUAGAAUAUAUUAUACUAUUGUACAUGUAACCCUGACAACUAGAUUAUAUUGUACUAUUGUACAUGUAACCCAGACAACUAGAUUAUAUUAUACUAUUGUACAUGUAACCCAGACAACUAGAUUAUGUUAUACUAUUGUACAUGUAACCCAGACAACUAGAUUAUAUUAUACUAUUGUACAUGUAACCCAGACAACUAGAUUAUAUUAUACUAUUGUACAUGUAACCCAGACAACUAGAUUAUAUUGUACUAUUGUACAUGUAACCCAGACAACUAGAUUAUAUUAUACUAUUGUUCAUGUAACCCAGACAACUAGAUUAUGUUAUACUAUUGUACAUGUAACCCAGACAACUAGAUUAUAUUGUACAUGUAACCCAGACAACUAGAUUAUAUUGUACAUGUAACCCAGACAACUAGAUUAUGUUAUACAUGUAACCCAGACAACUAGAUAAUAUUAUACUAUUGUACAUGUAACCCAGACAACUAGAUUAUGUUAUACAUGUUGUGCUGCCAUCCUGUUAGAAGGUAACAGAUUAUUUUAUUACAAUGGUUAAAUUGGAUUUGCAUUGUGUUCAAUGGUGUUAUUUGCCCCCUAGUGGCGCUUUCUGGUACUUAGAAAGACAACGCAAACGGGAAGUUCAGAAUUUGUUUUGCACGCAUAGAAGCAGCUACAAACAACGCUACGGUGCAGGUCUUUCAAUGUAGUUAUUUCUUGUCACGCUUCAGCCUUGGAAAAAUAUUUGUUUUUUCACAACAUAAACGUUUGCAAUAUAUUCAUUCAAGAAAA